UACGGGGGGAGCAAGCGUUGUUCGGAUUUACUGGGCGUAAAGGGCGCGUAGGCGGCCACCGCAAGUCGACUGUGAAAUCUCCGGGCUUAACCCGGAAAGGUCAGCCGAUACUGCGGGGCUAGAGUGCAGAAGGGGCAACUGGAAUUCCCGGUGUAGCGGUGGAAUGCGCAGAUAUCGGGAGGAACACCCGUAGCGAAGGCGGUUCUCUGGGCCAAUACUGACGCUGAGGAGCGAAAGCGUGGGGAGCAAACAGG
rnacentral:rRNA from 1 species